rnacentral:rRNA from 1 species
CCUACGGGUGGCAGCAGUGGGGAAUAUUGGACAAUGGGCGAAAGCCUGAUCCAGCCAUGCCGCGUGUGUGAAGAAGGCCUUCGGGUUGUAAAGCACUUUCAGUGGGGAAGAAAGCCUUGGGGCUAAUACCCUCGAGGAAGGACAUCACCCACAGAAGAAGCACCGGCUAACUCCGUGCCAGCAGCCGCGGUAAUACGGAGGGUGCGAGCGUUAAUCGGAAUUACUGGGCGUAAAGCGCGCGUAGGCGGUCUGAUAAGCCGGUUGUGAAAGCCCCGGGCUCAACCUGGGAACGGCAUCCGGAACUGUCAGGCUAGAGUGCAGGAGAGGAAAGUAGAAUUCCUGGUGUAGCGGUGAAAUGCGUAGAGAUCGGGAGGAAUACCAGUGGCGAAGGCGGCCUUCUGGACUGACACUGACGCUGAGGUGCGAAAGCGUGGGUAGCAAACAGGAUUAGAUACCCGAGUAGUC